GUCCUGAGCUGUGAUACAGGAAAAAGAACCAGGAAAGACACCAACCAGAGGGUAGGAUGUUCAGGAGAGAAUGUGAAGUCAUCAGAGAGCAGCCACUUUUGACGGAUAGAACUACAGUGAAACAAUGAAACCCUAUAAGGAGAAAAUGAAGGUGGCCUCAUGAGUUUGACUAAAAUCGCCCAAGGUGCUUAAGACUAGUGCAGAAGGCCAAUCCCCCCUGUAGUCACCUGGGCCAUGCUCCUGCUUCCUGUUGCAGCCCACGGCCCACCAAGGCCACUGCCUAUGUGCAGCCCUACCUGCUUGCUCUUCCCUUUCCCCUGACUUCAAAAUAAAGCACCGGAUCCGGUGCAAUCUGCUGCACACCCGAGCCUGGAUUAACCCAGAGGUCUGCCUUCGCUUCUCUCACCGGGUGCCUUGGGGAUGCUGGAGAGAAGUACAGCACGGGAACCAGUGUCUUCACAAAGUGAGUGUUAGGCUCUUUUAAAACUUCCUGUACAAGCACAUGAAGAAAGCGGAAGGUCCUUUUUGUGAGAAUUGCUGACUGGCAUGCAUUGUUUGACGGGAACUUCAAACUUCAUUUGACAGAGAUUCUAAUUGCACUCUUCCUCAUCCUGCUGGAGAAGCUGACAACCUAUAUUUUGCAGCUCAAAAAGGAAAAUGCAAGGCUCAACUUGUUUCUGAUGGAGAAUU
ensembl:lncRNA